UAGGGAAUCUUCGGCAAUGGGGGCAACCCUGACCGAGCAACGCCGCGUGAGUGAAGAAGGUUUUCGGAUCGUAAAGCUCUGUUGUAAGUCAAGAACGAGUGUGAGAGUGGAAAGUUCACACUGUGACGGUAGCUUACCAGAAAGGGACGGCUAACUACGUGCCAGCAGCCGCGGUAAUACGUAGGUCCCGAGCGUUGUCCGGAUUUAUUAGGCGUAAAGCGAGCGCAGGCGGUUUGAUAAGUCUGAAGUUAAAGGCUGUGGCUCAACCAUAGUUCGCUUUGGAAACUGUCAAACUUGAGUGCAGAAGGGGAGAGUGGAAUUCCAUGUGUAGCGGUGAAAUGCGUAGAUAUAUGGAGGAACACCGGUGGCGAAAGCGGCUCUCUGGUCUGUAACUGACGCUGAGGCUCGAAAGCGUGGGGAGCGAACAGGAUUAGAUACCCUGGUAGUCCACGCCGUAAACGAUGAGUGCUAGGUGUUGGAUCCUUUCCGGGAUUCAGUGCCGCAGCUAACGCAUUAAGCACUCCGCCUGGGGAGUACGACCGCAAGGUUG
rnacentral:rRNA from 1 species